AUUGAACGCUGGCGGCAUGCCUUACACAUGCAAGUCGAACGGUAACAGGUUAAGCUGACGAGUGGCGAACGGGUGAGUAAUGUAUCGGAACGUGCCCAGUCGUGGGGGAUAACUGCUCGAAAGAGCAGCUAAUACCGCAUACGACCUGAGGGUGAAAGCGGGGGAUCGCAAGACCUCGCUCGAUUGGAGCGGCCGAUAUCAGAUUAGGUAGUUGGUGAGGUAAAGGCUCACCAAGCCGACGAUCUGUAGCUGGUCUGAGAGGACGACCAGCCACACUGGGACUGAGACACGGCCCAGACUCCUACGGGAGGCAGCAGUGGGGAAUUUUGGACAAUGGGCGCAAGCCUGAUCCAGCCAUGCCGCGUGCGGGAAGAAGGCCUUCGGGUUGUAAACCGCUUUUGUCAGGGAAGAAAAGGUUCUGGCUAAUACCUGGGACUCAUGACGGUACCUGAAGAAUAAGCACCGGCUAACUACGUG
rnacentral:rRNA from 1 species